UGUGCCACUGCACUCCAGCCUAGCUGACAGAAUGAGACUCUGUCUCAAAAAAAAAAAAAAAAAAGACUAAAGAGAUAAGACAACAAAUACAGUGGAUGAGCCUGGGUUAGGAAGGAUAGUACAAAGAGCAUGUUUGGGGGACAGUUGAAAUUUGAAUAUAGACUGUGGAUUAGAUGUUAAAUUUCCUGAUUUUUAAAAUUAUAUCGUGGUCAUCUAAGACAUGCCCUUAUUUUUAGGUAUUUGGAGAAGAGAGAGGCAUAACGUUUGUAACUUACUCUCCAGCGGUUUGUGAGAGAAAAUGUGAAUAAAGAAAAUGGGGUAAAAUGUUACUACUGAUAAAUCUGGUCAAAGGAUAUACAGGAAUUCCUGAUAAUUUCUGUAUAUUUUUGAGGAUUUUCUAUAAGUUUAAAAUUAUAUCAAAACAAAAAAAGUACCAAAGAACUUAAAGUGACAUGAAAAGUGGCUCAGAAGCUAGAACUCCAGAGGGGUGGGCUUCAGAGUUGGCUUUAUUUAGCAGCUCCACAGUCUGAUCAAAUGCUCAGGUUCUUGUUGUCUUUUGGCCUUCUAGCCCUCAGUGUGUGCUUCAUCCAGCAGCCACUUCCUCUUGAGGUUUCAGGUGAUUGCCAGUGACAAUCAGGGCUGCAUAUGCUUUCCCACUGAGCCGUCGACAUCCUUUUACCUUUUCAGUCACUUGAAUUCCGAGACUUUUCUGUAAGUUUUAAAGGAUAUCAAAGGUAAGGACCUGUUAGAAAAGUCUCGACAACAGUCCAGGGAAGUCAUUAAAAUCGGUUUUAUUGAUAAUAUUUAAACAUUUCUUAAAUUGACAGUCAAUUUGGUCUGAUGAAGUUUCAUUGUUACUAGAAAAAAAAAACAGUGUAAACAGUUGCAUAUGCUAAAAAUAUGUUAGGACAGAUACUGCCAGAAAGCCAGUUGUUAUAGAAGCAUAGUUUCUACUCUAUAGUCAUUAAAAUGUAAUUUGGCCUUUCAUGUGACCUCUAAAGGAAAUCUUAGGCAGAAUUCAAAAUACUGUUUUUAAUAAAGAACCAGGAAUUUAGGGAGUGUUCUUGAAAGAAUCAUUUCUUCUGACAGAAUUAAAAAAGAAUUUUAGAUUUGAGAUAUCUUAUAAUAAUUGUACAUUUCUAAUUUAGUUUAAAAAUAAAUGUGUAUAGGAAGAAGUAAUUAUGUCAAAUAAGUAUAAGAAAAAUAUUAGAAGUAAAUGGUUUUCUUACAUCAUACAUCUCGAAACUUUGAAAUGUCAAAGAUUAUGUGCCCUCUAGUUGGUGAUUCAAACUAGUCGCUUGUAUAAAAAUCCAAAGCAUGUGAACUCUGCCGCCUCUGCACAGGCAUCCCUGGCCAAUGCAGUCCCAGCUGUUUGCUCACCCACACCUUCGCUAUAGUUUUCCUCAGUUUUGUAUCUAGACAUGAGUGGAUGGUGGUGAGCUGGGGCAGUCCAGGAGCCUACACACCCAGCUAUGCAGUCAUGUGGGCAUCUGUGCCAUUUGAUUCCACUCUUCUUCCUCCAGCCUGCAUAUUUAAUUAUGCCCCAGGAAAGCGGAGCAAAGAAGUUAAGCAGCUAUUUUAGGUAGUUGGGCAGCUCUAAAAAACAGUGGAGACCAUAUCUACUUCUACUUGUUUUUUUGAAUACUCUUAGUACAGGAGAAACUAGCAGUUGAGGCUGUUAGUAUUUAAUUCUCAGCAAAUUAUUACUAUGCAGCAAAUUAUUUCUUCUUCCAAACAUUUCUUUGAAGCAGUUGAACUAUUCUGGGGCGCUGAGAUGAAACCAUUCAUUGGCAAAUGUUUAAAAAAGUGGCAGGCCCAGAGAUACAGUUAAAAUACAGUCUCCCCGAGAGUUGCUGGUAUGAGUUCGGCACAGGAAAGCUGUUCUGGCUCAUGCCUGUUUGGUGGCUUCUUUAAUGCUUGCCCAUACGGAAUGAAGUAACGCCCUCUCCCACCAGGCUUUCCUUCCGUGUGUGUGCCCUGGAGCCCCUCUAGCUCUCCUUCAGGCCUGCUGCACUCCACAGGCCCAGAAAAGUCUGGCCAGAAUGGCAGAAUAGGGGAUCACUUUCAACUUUGGGGUUAUAGAUAAGCUAUUAAUGGAUUAUUGAGAGUGAGAGAGACACUAGAGGGAAGUUGCAAAAAGAAAACCGUGAAUAGAGGUUUUGAGGUAAGAUAAUGAAAGGGUGCUUAGGUUAUAAAAGAGCACAGGAAGAGAAGAAGGCAUUUGUCAGAGAUGUGAUGAUUGGCUA